rnacentral:misc_RNA from 1 species
AAGUCGUAACAAGGUUUCCGUAGGUGAACACGUAUCCAACGUUAAAACCCCCGUGAACCUUUAUUGUGGCACGCCUAUCCGUUAGAAGUGGCAAUCCUGGUAAAUCAUCGCCGAACAGUUUUGAUUCACUGCGCGAGCAAGAGUGGCCUGGCAUCCCUCUGCUUGUUAGUGUCUGAAAGUGUCACUGGUGGCGCAAUCACGAUCGCUAGAGGCCAACACGGCCGGCGACCGGGUCAAUGGGCCCUCGGCCCCCUAAUCACCUUUGCAUGAAAACGGGCCUGCGCUUAAUUGUGCGGCCACCUCCAACAACAGAUAUCAUUGGUUCUC